CGGGUUUAUAGUGUCAAGCUGGAAGUGGACGGCUAUUCACAUCAUAAACCCGCCACC
rnacentral:pre_miRNA from 1 species